UCUUCGACAGGGAGGUGGACUGGGAGCGUGAGAAACGGUUGUAUGUCCAUUCGGUCACCAGACACAUAAAUGAGAAAUCAGGAUCAGGCCAAGAUGUCAUGGCUGAGCUGAUGAACCUGAUGACCCAUGUGGCUGACCAGACACCGGACACAAAUGGCAGACAGUGGCAGCAUCCCUCUGACCUCACACGCAGAAACUACCAAAGACGGUUUGGAAACAUGACGCCAACAAUGGCCCUCUGUGAAUGGCAGGCCAAGAAUUUUACAGCACACAAGCGCUUUGCCAAGGUCCCAAAAAUCUUUGAAAGAAGUCCAUUUCCCUAAAUUAGGCGUUGUGGAAUCUUCUUGUGAACAGAUGGCACUUAACUUCUUAAGAGAUCUUAAGUUGUACCAGGUAUGAAGUGGGCCUCAGAUCAAUGUUUGCACUAGUUUUGCUUAGUUGAAUUUGUGGUGUUUAUUUUUGGUUUGUCAGUUUGAGUGUUCCUCUGUAUUUUUCUUUUGAACUAUGCAUGUAUGUGUAUAUAAAAUUAAUGCAUGUUUUGGUGUUAUAAUACUGACCUUUAGUGCGUUGUCUUUUUACUGUAAGAACUAUGCCUGUUUUAAUGUGAAUAUAAGUAUGUCUUGUACUUCCAAGUUUAACAUUUGUACUUUUGUUGUGAGUGCCAGCGUAUUCCCUGCUCAUGGUUUACUUCCUCUGGAUAUGAUGCAAACAGUCCAGACCUAUACUGACAUGUUUCUCAACUGUUCCUGUUAAUUUCUUUCCUCUUAUACAUACAAUAGCCUCCCAUCAGUUUUUGUGGAUGAUCCUUCAAAUGACAGCAGCUAGCAGAAUAGAAAAUGAUAAAUGUAUUUAAGUUUAGGAGGCAUGUUGGAUUACAUUGUAUCAAGUGUUCCUGUUACGUUGUCCACCCUUGUACAUCAAGCCUCAUGUGUGGAUCAGAUGGGAGAUGUUGGUUUAAGGUGUAGUGCAGGGCAAAGCUGAGUAGAUGAUUAUGAAAGUCUGGAAAUGUUUACCAAGAGGUUUUAGUCCAGUCAUUCAUACAAACCUCUAGAGAUUUAUGUAAGCAGGCAUCUCUGCAUGUUUAACUCAAGACUGAGGAAACAAACAAAUAUUGGAUUACUUCUUUUUACAACAUGACAUUCAGCAUAUCUUUGAAUUUAUAAUGUGAUAUAAUGUUUUAGGCAGGCAGAAUUUGUUUAAGUUUUGUGCUCCAUACAUUGGCAUGGUGUUAGAUGGAAGUGUUUAUUAAGGUCAGUGCACCCAUAUCAUAUGAGCAUUUUUCAAUCAUACCCUAAGUUGUAAUGGGGGAAUGUGUCCGUUAAUAAUGUCCUGGCUAAUAUGGAUUUUCUCAGACCACUGGCCAUUUUUAACAACUUUAUUAUAUCUAAUAAAAUAGGAAAUCUGUUCACAACAAAGUCUGUCAAUUAUCCAUAACAAUCCAGAAACCCUGCUUUUCAGGUUUUCAAAAGUAAUUUUGUGAGGACCACAAACAAAAUUCCUUUGUACCUUCUUUUUGGGGUGUCAGCAGAAGUUUUAGUUGUGGAUAUUUAAAACCUGCCCACUAAUGUAAACACUACCACUAGGGGUUAAAUGGUCAAAUGUUUUAGUGAUUUGUGUGAACUGACCUUUUUAAUUAUAGAGCAGCAGUGACCACAAUGUACACCCAGCUUUGGUUAAACCCAUUGUAAGAAAAGUGUAAGUGCCACUGAGUGGAGAACUCUGUCCAUGGAGUCAGAGCAGGGCUGUUUGUGUGAGAGCGAGGCAGUGCUGUUGAUGAAGUACUCAAAAAUAAAGCCCACUCUGUUCAAUUUA